rnacentral:tRNA from 1 species
AUCAACGUGCAGAAAUGACAACUUGCACCGCCUUGUAAGCGGUAGGUCCACAGUUCGAGUCCGGGUGUCGGCACCA